UACGAAGGGGGCUAGCGUUGCUCGGAAUCACUGGGCGUAAAGCGCACGUAGGCGGAUCGUUAAGUCGGAGGUGAAAUCCUGGAGCUCAACUCCAGAACUGCCUUCGAUACUGGCGAUCUUCGAGUCCGGGAGAGGUGAGUGGAACUCCGAGUGUAGAGGUGAAAUUCGUAGAUAUUCGGAAGAACACCAGUGGCGAAGGCGGCUCACUGGCCCGGUACUGACGCUGAGGUGCGAAAGCGUGGGGAGCAAACAGG
rnacentral:rRNA from 1 species